UCUCCGUUGGUGAACCAGCGGAGGGAUCAUUAUCGAGUGUUACAACUCCCACACCCUUCCUGAACCACUCCUCUCGUAGCUUCGGCGGUACCGCCCCGGCGCCUCUGCCCGCCGGGCACCGCGCCCGCCCGGGGCCCGAGACUAUUGCCUUCUCAGUGGUAUUCUCUCUGAGUGGCACAAGCAAAAUAAAUUAAAACUUUCAACAACGGAUCUCUUGGUUCUG
rnacentral:misc_RNA from 1 species